AUGACUGAACUUUUUCACUUGGAUCCAAAUCAUCAUCAGAUCAGAAUGGACUUUUAAUUAGUGCCACUCAUGGUACUGGUCUGUAAACUGCUGGUUUCAGGUCCACAAAGAUAAGGCACUUGAGCCAGAAUGGAAAACGUAAAACAACUACCUCACCAAACACACUUGUUUCCCUUUAAAGCAAGGCUUUCUUGAUGAAGGAAGAACUGCCUUGGGUUUACUUUCUAGCAAAAGUUCUUAUCUCAUAGUGGAUCGCUAAAAACAGGUGGAAGACUGACUCUCAUCCAGACAGUGGCACUGGUCCAAGUACAGCACUUUGAAGAACAUCACCUACGUUACCAUCACGUCUCCUCCCUCACGGCUGUCAACUCUGGAUUGUUGCAACAGUCUCUUGGAUGGUCUCCCCGCUUGUAGCUGUUUUCUCCCAUGCAUUCUCCACUCCUGUGCCAGAGAAAUCUUCUUAUUUAUUUACUUUUGAGAGAGAGUACAAGUGGGGGGGGGGGGGCAGAGAGAGAGGGAAAGAAAGAAUCCCAAGCAAGCUCUGCACAGCCAGCGCAGAACCCGAUGUGGGGCUCCAGCCCAGGAACUGUUGAGACCAUGAUCCAAGCCGGAAUCAGAUGCUUAACCGACUGAAUCACCCAGGCACUCCAGAGAAAUCUUUCUAACUUGUAAAUCUGUUUGCGACGUUACCCUCCAUAAAACCCUUCAAUGAUUCCCACUGUCUCUUGAUAAAGCCCAAGCUUCACGUGGGACCCGAGGCUCUUUGUGACCUUGCUCCGUGUACCCUCACCAGCUUUCCUGCCUGCUGCUUAGGUCCCAGUUUGACAGAAUUAUAUGUAGUUCUCCAAAUAGGCCGCAUGCUCACUUCACGAUUUUGUACAUGCUAUUCUGUCAGCCCCUGUUGAUCUCCUUUCCCUCAUUAGCCUGUCUCACGUGCACACACUGUCUCUGCGUGGUCAAAAGCCACAACAGCCACAUGGAACUUCACAGAGCAUAUGGGAAUAGAGAGAUUUUGUUUCAAUUUUAGGAUUUGACCAGGAGGAGAGGAACAGGGAAGGCUAGACUGGGAGUAUGCAGGAUGACUUAGGGAGAAAUUCUAGAAGGCUGCUGCUGAACAGGAAGUGGUAAUGACCUGCCAGUGAAGCAAGGAAAUGCUACAGUAAGAUUUCCAACAAAACCAGGUGGGUACUCACUGGCAGUAAGUCACAGGUAGAGGGAUUAAUUUUUUCAAAAAAGGGGAUGCAGUAUAGUAAACAAAGACAGUUCCUACAGAGAAGUUCCCUUGGGAUGUGCUGGAAGUGGCCAAGCAGCUCGUAAGAAAGACUUCUCUCCUUUGGCUGUCAAAGCACCCAUGACUCUGAAUAGCUUCCAAGCAUGAUGGUUAGGCAAGGAAUGGCUGCUGUUAUCUUGGCAGAAUGGUGGUGAGCUUGGCAAGCUGGUGGCGGAAGCAGUUAAACUUUAUCCAUUCUGUCCUCCCACACACUCAGCGUGGAGGCUGUGGACGGCGAGGAUGUCAGAGGCUGAAGAAAUAUCCAGCAGCCCAGGGGGAGAGUCUCUGGGUCUUUUCCCUUAUCCGGGACAGGCAAGGCAGACCGAGGGUCACAGCUCCUGCCUGGCCUCUGGUAGCCUCUGAUAAGCAAAACCUUCAGCGGGAAGGGAUCAUUCUCCCUUUUGUCACCUACGCAGAUAGAGUAAAGUGUGUGCCCUUUUCCCACUUCUGGGAGGCUAAGAUUUAUUGAAAUCUGCAAAUUGCCUCCUUCAAGAAAACAUUAUAUAAAAGGAUUAGCUUCCUGGCAGGUGUUUAGUCUGAUGCGGGUUCUCAAAAGACAUGAAUGGGAAUUUGUCCAUUUUGUGUUAUCCAAAUGCUCUACAAAGAUUAACUCAUUCAUCCUCAUUGCCUGCUUGUGAGGGUUGUUAUCCCUUUUUUUCAGCUGUGGAAUUGAGACAAAGUGCUGCGCUGAGCGGCCUAGCCCGAGGCUACGCAGCUGGUGGAUGGAGCCACCAGGCGCUGUGCUGGCAGGCCUCACAGGCAGGCUUCCUCUCUGAGAAAUCUGAUGCUAGACAGAAGGGCAGGCAGGAGGCAUGGAACAAGAGAAGCAGGGGAAACACAGAGGAGGAGAGAGAAGCUUGUUCCUACAAAUGGCAGAGUCUACCAGAGGGAGAACCAGACUUACCUACUUCUGAGGGAGAGAAGACUGAGCAGGCCACCAGGAUUUCUUUUGAACUCCAAACCAGCAAGGAACCUUUACUGAUUUACUUUUGGGUCCCUCAUGGUGUUUUACUCUGCAGUGCUGAGAUACUUUCUUGCUUUCCUUUGUAUAUUUACAGUAUUAAAAUCAAACACUUGCAGUA